ACACGUAUGAUUUCAACCGUAGCAUAUUCUGAAAAAGGCAAACUAUGAAGAAAGGAAAAAGCAGUAGUUGCCAGGGAUCCAGGGGUAGAGGGAGGGACGACUAGGUGGAACACGGGAAUUUUAGGGCAGUGAAACUAUUCUGUAUGAUACUGUAAUGGUGGACACAUGGCAUUACAUGUUUGUUAAAACCCACAGAACUGUACAACACGAAGAGUCAACCCCGAUGUAAACUACGGAGCUUAAUUAGUAAUAAUGCAUCAAUAUUAGGUCAUCAGUUGUAAAAAAAAGUACUACAUUAAUGCAAGAUGUUGAUAAUAGGGAGAACUAUGUGCAUGGUGGGGUGGAGGGAGGAGGGAAAACAGAGUAUAUGGGAAUUCCCUAUACUUUCCACACAAUUUUUCUGUGAACCUCGAGUUGCUCUAAAAAAUAGUUUAUUAAUUAAAAAAGAAUGUCCAAAAAAAGAGAGGGUUAUUGUGAGGAUUAAUGAGUUAAUAUAAAUAAAACACUUAGAAAAAAUGCCUGGUACUGGCACUGAAUAAAUAUUAUUAUUGUUAUUAUUAUUCCUAAUCUCUAUCGCUUCUUUGGAGGUGAUCCAAACAUUUGUCUGGGAGCAGCCUGAAGUUUUGGUGGGAAAUUUAGUGUGACCUUGGCCAGAUAACAUGAACUCUUUGUACCACCAUUUCCUCCUCUAUAAAGUGGGGAUGCAAAUUAUACCUACUUCUUAGGUUGUUGUAAAGAAUUAAUGGGUCAAUGCAUAUAAAAGGUUCAGAACAGUGCCAGGCAUGUAAGUGUACCCUAAAUAGAGCUACUUGUGCUACUGUUUCUAAUGCUUGACCUCCCAACCCUCAGUACUCUAUGGAACUCUGCUCAAGCCCAUCACCUAAUUUUCGUUUUCUUUGCUUGCCCCCAUUUUAGCACAAGAACUUAUGUUUGACCUCGGUAGGGGAUGUAGCACACUGAGAUGCUCAAUAUCUGCUGAACAAAAGGACAGAGCUAUAGAACUGAAACCUGGACACCUCACCUGCAAGGAGGCCUUCAGCGUUCAAAGUUGUGAGAGCAUGUACAUUAUGCAGGUUUUAACGUGCAGUCCAAAUGACGAGAAGCACAGUUGUCUUGCCAUGCUGGUCACCUCAGGGGCUCUCUAUCAUCUCCAAGACCAAGUAGAAAGUUUGUAUUUUUGGUUUAUGUAAGCCACAUGUCAGCUGUGGAUCUGUGACCCACUGAGACCGAAAUAGGAUCACCUCAAUUCUAGGAAAUUCAUGUUUGUCUCCAAGAUCUCUGUGUCUCUGCAUCUUCUGCAUGAAUACUCCUACUUCUGGGCUCAGCUUUUAUUGGGUAGUGCCACUGCAGGUAUGUAAUUCUGCUUUGUAAGUUCUUUAAGCAUUUAAGAACUGCCCCCCCCCAAUUUGGCUUUGAGGUUAGCUGACUUAAAGCUAAUUUGGGGGAGAUUUCUAUUGUAUCAGUGCAAAUGACUUCAAAUUGAACAUUGGAUAUUCUUUUUUUUUUUUUUUAAGAUUUUAUUUAUUUAUUCGACAGAGAGAGAGACAGCCAGCGAGAGAGGGAACACAAGCAGGGGGAGUGGGAGAGGAAGAAGCAGGCUCCCAGCGGAGGAGCCUGAUGAGAGGCUCUAUCCCAGGACUCUGGGAUCAUGCCCUGAGCCAAAGGCAGACGCUUAACGACUGAGCCACCCAGGCGCCCCAGAUAUUCUUUUUGUGAAAUGCCUUUUAGCUACUCCCACAUUACUGGACUUUUACCCUACAUGGUCUCCAACUGUGCAUCGUAUCUCUGAUUCUCCUCUUACCCUCCCUGUUUAGAAGCUAAAAUAUAUUUCUUUCUUUGCUUUAGGAAGACCACUCUAGCCACUUUCUAAAAUAUUUACCAUGAUGCCUGCUGAUAUUCAUACUCUUUGGUCUACCAAUAAGCAGCAGUCCAAAUAUUGGCUCAAAAAAUUACAGUAACCUCCCCAAGAGGAAUUCUGGUGCCAACUGUUAAGACAAUACAUUUGUUGCUUCCAUUGACCUAAGUUUUGCUUACAUUUCCAGCCUCAUCUCCCCACUAGUGUACGUGCUAUUUCUGCUAUCAACAUACUAUGUUUUUCUUCAUUUCCGUAUUUUAAAAAGUGUCACUACUUCUGCUUNNNNNNNNNNGUGAGCGAGAGAGAGCACAGAGGGAGAGGGAGAAGCAGACUUGAUGCCAAAAGGAGAGCCUGAUGCGGGACUCGAUCUCAAGACCCUGAGACAAUGAUCUGAGCUGAAGGCAGACGCUUUAACCGACUGAGCCACCAGAAAUAUAUAUAUUUAAAGGGAAAGUCGUGCCUCUUAUACGAUAUAAAAUUCUUUAAAAAUCAAAGAUUUUAUAUAACUCAUUAAUUAAUGUGGGAACUAUAAGAUGCUACAACACGUUCAAAGGACAGUCUAGAGAGCAGAAACAUGUAUGGGCCAUACAAGCCAUCAAGAACACAGAGAUAAAUUUGCUUCAGAAAUGCAAAACUGGUUUAUUCCACAUUGGGGGAGGAAGACCAAUGGAAGCUCCAUCAGAAGAAAAUGCAUUUGUGCACCUCUGGACAAAAUUAAUCUGCACUGCUCUAAGUUGUCCACAAAUUACAGAGUUAUAAGUAGCUCAAAGGCCACGAAGGGCACAAAGACCCCAUAAAACCAGAUAUCUUUGGAGGAUGUGCUAGACACCACUUGGUUUUCAUUAAACACACCCAGUAAUCUUUUUGGUGCAUUUCCAAGGAAUUCACAAUUUUUCUUUGUACUCCCUUUCUCUUCCUCUACCAUCUUCUGCUCCUUUCUUCCUCUCUUUGCUCCCAUUUCUAGUUCCCAGUGGUUGACUCAGACCUUUCUACAUAGUCUCAACCUGUGUACUUAAUAACCUGUCUACAGUUUGUGCAGAAUCUGUAUCACUAGCUUGCUAAACAGUGGGUUUUUUUAAAAAAAAAUUAUUUCUUUCUCCUUUUGAACAGAAUUGGUAAACCAUUUGUGUGCUUAGGCCUCUGGUUACUCUGGUGUUUCAUUCUGCUGGGUUUGGAGGCUUGAAUUAACUUGAACUGGCUGUACGGUUUCUUAAUACAUUUUUUCCAUAUCUUAGACUUCAAUUUCUUCUGUACGAUGUUGGAAGGUUGAAUUAAUUCAAAUAUUAUUUUCUCUAACAAAGAAGGUAAGACCAAAAGGGACUUUGAGGAAUUCCAUAUUUUCUGUCAUUUGAUGCAUUUUUAUGCAAACAUAUUCUAUAAAUAGUCAUCCUCUGCUUUAUAUAUUCAUUUACUUGCUCUAAGAAUAAGGUUUGGUUGCCUGUAACAUUUAUCACAAUUCUCAGAAUAUUAAGGGAGUUAGUUUCUGGCACUUGGUUUAUAAGUUAAUACAACU
ensembl:lncRNA